rnacentral:rRNA from 1 species
GACGAACGCUGGCGGCGUGCCUAAUACAUGCAAGUCGAGCGAAGUUUUUCUGGUGCUUGCCCUAGAAAAACUUAGCGGCGAACGGGUGAGUAACACGUAAAGAACCUGCCUCAUAGACUGGGACAACUAUUGGAAACGAUAGCUAAUACCGGAUAACAGCAUUAACUGCAUGGUUGAUGUUUAAAAGUUGGUUUUGCUAACACUAUGAGAUGGCUUUGCGGUGCAUUAGCUAGUUGGUGGGGUAAAGGCCUACCAAGGCGACGAUGCAUAGCCGACCUGAGAGGGUGAUCGGCCACACUGGGACUGAGACACGGCCCAGACUCCUACGGGAGGCAGCAGUAGGGAAUCUUCCGCAAUGGGCGAAAGCCUGACGGAGCAACGCCGCGUGAGUGAAGAAGGAUUUCGGUUCGUAAAGCUCUGUUGUUAGGGAAGAAUGAUUGUGUAGUAACGAGACACAGUAGAGACGGUACCUAACCAGAAAGCCACGGCUAACUACGUG